rnacentral:misc_RNA from 1 species
AAAGAAGUCAACUUUCUUUCACAAAAUAAUAAUUCAAUUUAGGGUUUCUAUGAAGGGACACAAUCCAAUUGAGGUGGCGAAGACGGUGUUGGAGGUGGCCGAUGUAGCAUGGUCGGCGGUGGAACGCUGUCAUCACCAUACCCACAGUCAUACUGAUACGACGGCGUUUGAUGUAUCUCAUAGUUGUGAAGAAGAUGGAUUGAGAUCUUUGAGGUCUGAAAACAAACGGCUCAAACGGUUGCUUGAACAAAAUCUUAUGCUUCUUCAGAGCAUGUCACAAUCUCCUUCCUUACUUCAAAAUUGUCCACCUGAUCUUCAUGAACGUCUCUUAGCCGCUGUGGAAUCCGGAAGCUUUUUGAAACAGCUGGAAGCACUGAAUCGGAAAUCUGUUGAUGGGAAUGACUGUCAAUUUCCUUUCAAGGAGGCAACUGAUGUUGACACGGAGACAGCAGAACUUCUGGUGAACAUGAGUCUUGAAGAACCAAGUUGGUGGGUUUGGGUGACUGAGGAUAUGGUCCCUGGCAAUCUUGAAGAAAGAAGCGAAAUAGAUAAUGAUAACUAUGUGAUUGUUAGUGAGGAAUAUGUUGUAGAUGCAGUUGCCAACUUUAUGGCUAGAUGCGUAGUAUCCAAUUCGAAGGCUCAGAAGAUGUCUCCUGAAGAACUGCAAAAGACCCUGGCAAAAGCAUUCGAAGGCAUUGGUAAAGUAGAAACAUUGUUCAACAUUUGGCAUGCCGCGCAAAUGUUCUACGUCCUUUCCACUUGGGGACUUGCAGUAGUGGGGUUGUACAAGAGCCGAUCUGUUAUUAGACUUGCUGCUAAAGGGGUUCACAAGACAGGCAAAAUGGUUCUGAAGGUUCUUUGAAGAUGCCUCUGCUGUGUUGGUUAUGAAUUAAGCAUCGUGUAAAUGCUUUUACUUAUUGUACAGUCUAGUAUAUCAGAAUAACAUUAUGCUUGACUUCCAAUUCGUCUGUCUGAGAAUAUUGUAAAUAGUAUGCAAUUUGAAAAGUGCCUCUGUUGAGAUUGCAUUCGCGUCACAGUGUAGGCCUUUUAUGGUUCUUAUUUCUUAAACUCAGU